UUUUUGAGUAAUUACACCAAAUACACAAUCCUCAAGUAAUCCACAACUUCCAAAAUAUGAUAAAAUCUUCUAAAACCUUGUUUAUUCUUAUGUGGAGAUUUUUCCGAACUUCAACACCUUAUAUCUCCUAAUCCGACUGUCCAAACAAACUCAAAUUUUACAUGAGGUACUGAUGUAUUCUUAUUAACUUUUACAACAAAUUUCAACUGCAAAUUCAUUGCAGAUCUUGAGAUAUCUUGAAAACCCUAACAGUUGCUUCAAUCCCUUGUCUUUAUACAUCUGCGUGCAAUUUUUUUCAUAUCUCAUAAAAUAUAAGUUCAAAUUCCACGAAAUUUUUAUGUAUAACUUUUUAACACAAAAACUUAUUUUUUCCAAAAGUUUGAGCUAAAAAUUCAUCCGAAUACGUAAGUUAUGGUUCCAACCAUUACUACAAAUAAAACUGCUUACUUACUGCCUUUGAUUUGGAAGCGCCGCCUUCAACUCCUUACAACUCCUUCAUAUAAACUACAAAAGCAAUAAUUCUUUUGUAAAAGAUGUAGGCCUUGAAAUCGCCGUUCCAGUUGCACCUUUCGAUUUUCAAAAGCUGCUGUAAAACUCCUCGAACUCUCAAAAGAGUAACAGUAUGUCUUAAAUAAACACCUUAACUUCAAAUGGCUAUAACUUUUUCAUCCUAACUCCAAAUCCUCUAAUUUUUGCAUAGAAAUUGUACUCCAAAUCCUAAACUUUACAAUCUUAGCUUGUAAUUUCCAAAUGUCUUCUUUGAAGUUGCCGAAAACCUUCUUAAGGUCGCGGGCAGCCUCCUCAAAGCCCAUUGGGCAUGGUAUUCGACCAAUAGGG
rnacentral:lncRNA from 1 species